GAUGAACGCUAGCUACAGGCUUAACACAUGCAAGUCGAGGGGAAACGGCAUUAAGUGCUUGCACUUUUUGGACGUCGACCGGCGCACGGGUGAGUAACGCGUAUCCGACCUUCCCAUGACUAAGGGAUAACCUGCCGAAAGGCAGACUAAUACCUUAUGGUCUUCACUGACGGCAUCAGAUGUGAAGUAAAGAUUUAUCGGUUAUGGAUGGGGAUGCGUCUGAUUAGUUAGUUGGCGGGGUAACGGCCCACCAAGGCAACGAUCAGUAGGGGUUCUGAGAGGAAGGUCCCCCACAUUGGAACUGAGACACGGUCCAAACUCCUACGGGAGGCAGCAGUGAGGAAUAUUGGUCAAUGGGCGAGAGCCUGAACCAGCCAAGUAGCGUGCAGGACGACGGCCCUAUGGGUUGUAAACUGCUUUUGUAUGGGGAUAAAGUCAAUCACGUGUGAUUGUUUGCAGGUACCAUACGAAUAAGGACCGGCUAAUUCCGUGCCAGCAGCCGCGGUAAUACGGAAGGUCCGGGCGUUAUCCGGAUUUAUUGGGUUUAAAGGGAGCGUAGGCUGGAGAUUAAGUGUGUUGUGAAAUGUAGACGCUCAACGUCUGACUUGCAGCGCAUACUGGUUUCCUUGAGUACGCACAACGUUGGCGGAAUUCGUCGUGUAGCGGUGAAAUGCUUAGAUAUGACGAAGAACUCCGAUUGCGAAGGCAGCUGACGGGAGCGCAACUGACGCUGAAGCUCGAAGGUGCGGGUAUCGAACAGG
rnacentral:rRNA from 1 species